GACUUUUCCUUUGUUCUGCCUUUUAGGGUUUGGGUGCCAGUGAUGAACUGCCGCUGUUUUUCCAGGUGGACAAUCAAAUUCACCUAGGAAACGGCAUAUUCCUGGAGCAG